CAGACAGUAUAUUACUACUUUUUGUAACAAGUACUGAUGUUUUGCUUCCAUGAGCGUCCACAUCUUUUUAAGUCACAAGUAAGAAGUGUGCUGUAAUAAGCAAAUAUAAAGUCAGAUGCUUUUGACCAUAUAAAGCCACAAGGAAGAAGAAAAGAGGAGGUAUGUGAAAUUCAUGACAUCUGGGAAACACUUUGUAUAUGGAGUUUGAAGACAAUAUACAUUGCCAGCCUGGCAGAACAGACAUAGACGUCCCAAACAGAAGCCUGAGAAAAUAGAAAAUCAGAAGUCCCUAUGGCACCACAAAUACCUUGCAACAUGAGAUGUCAGCCAUCCCAAGAAAAGUCCAGCCCAUCACAAGAUCAAAGAAAUUUGUUUCAAACUUUCUUGCCCAGAAAGGAAGGACGGAUGUAUACAAUUCCUCAGUCUUCAAAAAUCAAGAUUCUUGGGAACAGCAAGCCCACACACCCAGAAGAAGUCACUGUUGCCACUACUCUACUGAAGGAUGUGAUGACCAUCUUUUCCCCAUGAGAAGAAAAGGCUGUGGGUCUCGUCUAACCAAAACCAACUGUGACACAGGCUGACCUCCCUCUCUGCAAGAAUAAAAAUAACUCAGAAGAUUAUAUGUAUCAGUAUUAUGUGGUGGCAUCCACCAUAACAAUAUUAUAUAUCAUGUUCCCUUCAUCAUCCCUCUUAUGGUUUUGCUGUCUCUGUAUCACUCCCUCUUGAAUGGGUUACCGGGGAAAAUGUUGCUUCUCAUCAGUGUUUUUCAAGUUCUUCUACUAUAA